AAACUUUCAACAACGGAUCUCUUGGUUCUGGCAUCGAUGAAGAACGCAGCGAAAUGCGAUACGUAAUGUGAAUUGCAGAUUUCAGUGAAUCAUCGAAUCUUUGAACGCACAUUGCGCCCGCUAGUAUUCUGGCGGGCAUGCCUGUUCGAGCGUCAUUU
rnacentral:rRNA from 4 species